rnacentral:rRNA from 1 species
GAUGAACGCUAGCGGCAGGCUUAAUACAUGCAAGUCGAGGGACAGCACAGGUAGCAAUACUGGGUGGUAACCGGCAAACGGGUGCGGAACACGUACACAACCUUCCUUUAAGUGGGGGAUAGCCCAGAGAAAUUUGGAUUAAUACCCCGUAAUAUAGUUGAAUGGCAUCAUUUGAUUAUUAUAGCUACGGCGCUUAAUGAUGGGUGUGCGGCUGAUUAGAUAGUUGGCGGGGUAACGGCCCACCAAGUCUACGAUCAGUAGCUGAUGUGAGAGCAUGAUCAGCCAAACGGGCACUGAGACACGGGCCCGACUCCUACGGGAGGCAGCAGUAAGGGAUAUUGGUCAAUGGACGCAAGGCUGAACCAGCCAUGCCGCGUGAAGGAUUAAGGUCCUCUGGAUUGUAAACUUCUUUUAUUUGGGACGAAAAAGGGCCUUUCUAGGUCAACUGACGGUACCAGAUGAAUAAGCACCGGCUAACUCCGUGCCAGCAGCCGCGGUAAAAC